rnacentral:rRNA from 1 species
GACGAACGCUGGCGGCGUGCCUAAUACAUGCAAGUAGAACGCUGAAGACUUUAGCUUGCUAAAGUUGGAAGAGUUGCGAACGGGUGAGUAACGCGUAGGUAACCUGCCUACUAGCGGGGGAUAACUAUUGGAAACGAUAGCUAAUACCGCAUAACAGCAUUUAACCCAUGUUAGAUGCUUGAAAGGAGCAAUUGCUUCACUAGUAGAUGGACCUGCGUUGUAUUAGCUAGUUGGUGAGGUAACGGCUCACCAAGGCGACGAUACAUAGCCGACCUGAGAGGGUGAUCGGCCACACUGGGACUGAGACACGGCCCAGACUCCUACGGGAGGCAGCAGUAGGGAAUCUUCGGCAAUGGGGGCAACCCUGACCGAGCAACGCCGCGUGAGUGAAGAAGGUUUUCGGAUCGUAAAGCUCUGUUGUAAGAGAAGAACGUGUGUGAGAGUGGAAAGUUCACACAGUGACGGUAACUUACCAGAAAGGGAC